rnacentral:rRNA from 1 species
AUGGCUUCUUCGUCCGGCGUCGGCCUCAACCUCGGAUCGCCGCCAUCUGAGAAGCUAGCAAGAGGAAACUUCAUCCUCUGGAAGACCCAGGUGCUCCCAGCCCUGCGAGGUGCGCAGGUAACCGGGCUCCUGGACAACUCUGACGCCACUCCACCCAAGACUGUGGAGAUCACGAAGGCGGACAAGACGACGGCCCUCGAGCCGAACCCUCUGUACGGGCCCUGGAUCGCCAAAGACCAGCAGGUCCUGUCAUAUCUUCUCAACUCCAUGUCUCCAGAAAUCCUUGCGCAAGUCGUCGGGAAGGACUCCACCUAUGAGCUCUGGACGACGGUGAACAAUCUCUUCGCCUCGCAAUCACAGUCCCGGAUCACCAAUCUAAGGAUCGCGAUCACCAAUACCAAGAAGGGCACAAUGUCGAGCUCGGCGUAUAUGGCGAAGAUGAAAAGCCUUGGGGAUGAACUAGCUGCCGCUGGUCGUCCCGUCUCUGAUCCGGAGAUGGUGGACUACAUACUCGCAGGACUCGACCGCGACUACGACUCCGUGGUGGCGGCGAUCGGCGCUGUCAAGAACACAAUCACCGCCGAUGACCUCUUCGCUCAGAUCUCCGCCUUUGAUCAGAGGAUGGAGAUGCUGGGAGACUCGUCUUCAGGCGGGUUUCAUUCAUCUGCCAACGCCGUCUACAGAGGCCGCGGCCAGUCCCGUGGUAGAUCCUGUGGGCGAGGAGGAAGAGGGCGCGGCCGCGGUGACCGCGGUGACCGCCAGCCUUCUCCUGCAAAUAGAGGCGGCGGAUUCAGAGGACGCCCUCGACAGCAACAGCAACAGCAGGUACGCGAGCAGCAGCAUGACUAUCCUGAGUGCCAGAUAUGCUAUAGACAUCAUCCAGGAGGUGCACGUGUCUGCUGGUGGCGCUAUGAAGAGAAUGAUCAAGAAGAGAAGGAGGCGCAUGCUGUCUCCUAUGGCGUGGACACUAAUUGGUACGCAGACAGUGCAGCAACAAAUCACAUCACAGGUGAACUUGACAAGAUGACAAUACGGGAGAAGUACAACGGAGGCGACCAAAUUCGCACGGCAAGCGGUUCUGGUAUGAAUAUCACCCACAUUGGUAGUUCAAUUGUUCAAAACCCCAUGAAAAAUUUGCACCUUAAAGAUGUCUUGCAUGUUCCUCAAACUUCCAAAAAUCUUGUUUCUGUUCAUCGAUUCACCCUUGAUAAUAAUGUUCUUAUAGAAUUCUAUCCUCACUUUUUCUUGGUUAAGGAUUUGAGCACAAGGAGAAUCAUUCUUAGAGGACGGUGCGUGGGAGGCCUCUAUCCACUCAUAUCAUCAUCAUCAUCUUCAUGGUCCAAUAAACAAGCAAAUAUUGUCACCAAGCCAUCAUCAUCAAGGUGGCAUAGUCGAUUAGGUCAUCCAUCUUCAGUCAUAGUUAAAUAUGUUCUUAGCAAAAAUAAACUCUCUUAUGAGAAUAGUGUUGAGUCAGUUUGUGAUCCGUGUCAA